rnacentral:rRNA from 1 species
CCGCCCGUCACACCAUGGGAGUCAGUUGCUCCAGAAGUGGCUGUGCCAACCCGCAAGGGAAGCAGGCCCUAAGGAGUGGCUGGUGACUGGGUG